rnacentral:rRNA from 1 species
ACGCGAUGAACCUUACCAGGUCUUGACAUCCUCUGACAACUCUGGAGACAGAGCGUUCCCCUUCGGGGGACAGAGUGACAGGUGGUGCAUGGUUGUCGUCAGCUCGUGUCGUGAGAUGUUGGGUUAAGUCCCGCAACGAGCGCAACCCUUGUUCUUAGUUGCCAUCAUUUAGUUGGGCACUCUAAGGAGACUGCCGGUGACAAACCGGAGGAAGGUGGGGAUGACGUCAAAUCAUCAUGCCCCUUAUGACCUGGGCUACACACGUGCUACAAUGGAUGGUACAAAGGGCUGCAAGACUGCGAAGUCAAGCGAAUCCCAUAAAACCAUUCUCAGUUCGGAUUGCAGGCUGCAACUCGCCUGCAUGAAGCCGGAAUCGCUAGUAAUCGCGGAUCAGCAUGCCGCGGUGAAUACGUUCCCGGGCCUUGCACACACCGCCCGU